rnacentral:rRNA from 1 species
CUACGGGAUGCUGCAGUGGGGAAUCUUAGACAAUGGGGGAAACCCUGAUCUAGCCAUGCCGCGUGAGCGACGACGGCCCUAGGGUUGUAAAGCUCUUUCAGCAGGGAAGAUAAUGACGGUACCUGCAGAAGAAGUCCAGGCUAACUCCGUGCCAGCAGCCGCGGUAAUACGGAGGGGACUAGCGUUGUUCGGAAUUACUGGGCGUAAAGCGCGCGUAGGCGGAUUGUUAAGUCGGGGGUGAAAUCCCGGGGCUCAACCCCGGAACUGCCCUCGAUACUGGCAGUCUUGAGUUCGAGAGAGGUGAGUGGAAUUCCGAGUGUAGAGGUGAAAUUCGUAGAUAUUCGGAGGAACACCAGUGGCGAAGGCGGCUCACUGGCUCGAUACUGACGCUGAGGUGCGAAAGCGUGGGGAGCAAACAGGAUUAGAUACCCCUGUAGUC